UCACCAAGCCUUUAACCGGUGCGGGCCGUGGGAGCGGGAGCCCGGAGAUGGGCACUGAGACAAGGGCCCAGGCCCUACGGGGCGCAGCAGUCGCGAAAACUUUGCAAUAAGCGAAAGCUUGACAGGGCUAUCCCGAGUGCCAUCCGCUGAGGAAGGCUUUUACCCAGUCUAGAACGCUGGGGGAAUAAGGAGAGGGCAAGUCUGGUGUCAGCCGCCGCGGUAAUACCAGCUCUUCGAGUGGUGUGGAUGUUUAUUGGGCCUAAAGCAUCCGUAGCUGGCUAAGUUAGUCCCUUGUUAAAUCCACCGAAUUAAUCGUUGGAUUGCGGGGGAUACUGCUUGGCUAGGGGACGAGAGAGGCAGACGGUAUUUUCGGGGUAGGGGUGAAAUCCUAUAAUCCCGGGAAGACCACCAGUGGCGAAGGCUGUCUGCUAGAACGCGCCCGACGGUGAGGGAUGAAAGCUGGGGGAGCGAACCGGAUUAGAUACCCGGGUAGUCCCAGCUGUAAACGAUGCAGGCUAGGUGUUUGGACGGCCACGUGCCGUUCUAGUGCCGCAGGGAAGCUGUUAAGCCUGCCGCCUGGGGAGUACGAUCGCAAGAUUGAAACUUAAAGGAAUUGGCGGGGGAGCACCACAAGGGGUGAAGCUUGCGGUUUAAUUGGAGUCAACGCCGGAAAUCUCACCGGGAGCGACAGCAGUGUGAAGGCCAGAUUAAAGGUCUUGCCAGACGAGCUGAGAGGAGGUGCAUGGCCGUCGCCAGUUCGUGCCGUGAGGUGUCCUGUUAAGUCAGGCAACGAUCGAGACCCGCGUCCUCUGUUGCUACUAGCCUUGUGCUGGGCACACUGAGGAGACCGCCACUGAUAAAGUGGAGGAAGGAGCGGGCCACGGCAGGUCAGUAUGCCCCGAAUCUCCCGGGCCACACGCGAGCUGCAAUGGCAGGUACAAUGGGUUCCGACCUCGAAAGGGGAAGGCAAUCUCGAAAGCCUGCCGUAGUUGGGAUCGAGGGUUGAAACCCACCCUCGUGAACAUGGAAUCCCUAGUAAUCGCGUGUCACUAGCGCGCGGUGAAUACGUCCCUGCUCCUUGCACACACCGCCCGUCGUUCCAUCCGAGUGACUCUUGGG
rnacentral:rRNA from 1 species